AUGAAGUCUUCUAUUAUUGAAAUUUUCGUGAUUUCCAUACACGUGUUUCCUUAUAAGCUAAGCCGACUACAACCUAUCUAUAUAUUUAGGUUCAUCGCACAAAAUGGGAAACUAACACUAGCUGAAAAACCAAUGAAUUUUAACGCCCUAGCACUAUAGUUGUCUCUAGGACUACGGUUUCUUGCGUUUAACUCUCAAUCAAAGCCCUUAAAAACAAUACUUCUGGAGUUCCACACCUUAAAAGAUACUGAUCAAGUUUGAACUUCUUAAUAAUAAAAAUAUUAAAGAUGACAAUGAAGCAUAUUGAACACAGACGCCACCUCCAUUUAGAACGGUAAACUAUUAAUCUGUAGACUUUACAAGCAGACACACAAGAACCAGCUCUAACAUGGUUGAUGACCAAAAAGAUUAGUAGAAAAAGAUGUCUUACUUUACAAGCAGACACACAAGAACCAGCUCUAACAUGGUUGAUGACCAAAAAGAUUAGUAGAAAAAGAUGUCUUCGCGGCAACCAUGAACAAUCUGAUAAGGCAGACUAUAUAUAUAUAAAGCAGGGUUCUCCCAGCAGCUGCCACUGCCUUGAAACUGCAAUCACUCAUCUCAUAUUCAGAUAUCCUUCUAGCAUGCAAGCCUUUCCAUCAUCAAAUGUGAAAAUUCCCUUCGAUAUGAUAUUAGAUUGUGAGUGAGGGGGGAAAAAGUGACAUUAAGAAUAGGGAGUGUUCAUACAUUACUCUUGGCAAAUGCAGAAUUCAUCCACUCUUGUAGACAAACACACCAAAACUUUAUUCAGACCAAAAUUUCUGAAACGCAGCUAUGAACGAUUUAAAAAUAGCUAACACUGGGUUAGUUUCUGAUUCUGCAGGAUUUUUAGAUGCCCCUUCCCAUGAUUUAAUAUUUAUUCUGUUUAAUGUUGGAUUGUUCCCUUUCUGAGAGUUGCCACUAUGUUGAACAUCAGCUUUAUUUCCAGUAACUUCUUUUUGGGUUAUUGGCUCACUGCUAUUGGUACUAGCAUAGGUACGAUUUAGAGUUGCGGUUUGGGUGCCAUUUGAUGCAUUUACAACCUUAGUUUCAGUAAUUGCCUCAUCAUUACGAGAUGAUUUCACUUCUACAUCUAUGUCAACCUGAGUAUCACGCACAAUGCCAUCUUUGGUAGCAAACAAAUUUGAGCUUUCUAAUGGCAGAUCUUCUACAGUUUUCAUGGCUUUCUCAUCCACAGAACAGGAGUCUCCUUCAAAUGGCGGACCUGCUAGGUCUUCUACUUCUUUAUCAUCCACCAAACAGGAAUUGCUUGACAAAUUCAUUCCAUCUAUUUUAGAAUCAACAUAUCCUGGUCCCGAGGGCACCUUUUCAACAUCUUUUUCUACUACAGUUCCAUUCAAAUCCCUUAAUUCACCAGACUUUCCAUCCAAGUUAUUAGAAGGCUGAGUGACAGGCUGUAAUGGAAAUGUUUCUACAAUUACAUCUGCCAUCUGAAUCACUUUAGUCCUAGAUGCAGCCACCUUUUCCAUACCUUUCUUUGUUUCCAGUGCUUCACUUACUUGAGUCUUUGCAACUUUUAUUUCAUCACAUUCUUUAUUUGUUACACUUGCAUGAUUCCCAUUAAUGAUUUGCUCCUUGUUAAACACCUGCUGUUCAGGUUCAGCAUUAAGCCCAUCAGGAAUUAAGUCAGGUUCUUCACUUGUAUUCUGAUACUGAUCAGAUGCAAAAGGACUUCCAUUCGGUGAAAUAGGCAGAGAAGCUUCAGGUUCUAUGGAAAUUGUACCCAAUGGGUAUUUCACCAAUAACUGAUCAGUAUUCUGUUCCUCUGGCAAAUCCUUAGCAGGACCCAGCACCCUAUUUUCUUGGAUUAUUUCUCUAACAAUCUCUCUUACUGUGUAGAAAGACCCACCAACUUCCUUGUGUGUAAGAUUUAGAGAGGGGAAAUUCCCAUUGUUUAAGCUCUGGUGCUUCUUUAUAAAGGAUUCAACCAUUUCCUUUCUCUCCUUCUUUGACCGCCGAAUACGAGACUUCCUCCCUCCAGACUCACUGCUCUUUGCUAAGGCAUAUGUGUGGCGGCCUACCCAGCCACAAUUUAUAGAAUGCAUGAUGCCAAAUCGUACACCAGCUUUCAGCAUGUACACCUACAUAUUAAAGGAUGAAAAUCAGAGUAUUAUUACCACAGACUCUCCAUUAGACGAUUCUAAGUAUUUAAAAAUUACAUAAUUGUUCUCAGUUCCAAAUCAUACAUUUUUGAUGGACAAAUAAAAAAAAAACGUGUGUACCUAACAUCAAGAAAUAAUGUGAAAUUGCAAAGGAAAAAAAAAUCCAUGCUGCCCAAGAUCUUUUAGAAAGAAAAAGACAAAUAAAGUAUAAGGAAGAGAAAGCCGGUAUAUCUCUACCAGAAAUUUAAGUAAGCAACAUGUCUGGGGUACACUAGCAGCACAAGGUCAGCCAAAAAAUAAAUACAAAGGAUACAUUUAUAAAUAAAAAAAAAAAAGGGACGAGAGGGCAAAUUAUAAAACAUAUCUGGUGCACUUAAAACAUCAGGUACUAAAAAAAAAAAGUAAUUCUUAAAUUUUAGAGGACAAGACCCAUUUCAAUGUGAGUGAAAGUGCACAUGCAUGGGUGCACGGAAGAGAGAGAUAGACGAUACAGAUAGAGAGAAUUUUCCCCAUCUACAGUUGAAUCAAAACAUGUGAGAGGAAAUUAAUUUCAAAUUUUGAUGUCAUCUCAAAUAUGUUUGUGGUUCCAAUUCCAAACACAAGAACAUACUUCUCAGAGGUAAAUAACUGCAGCAAACCCAAUUGUGUAUAAAUUUCUAAUUUGCCAUGCCCUAAUCAUGAAAGUUCAAACUUCUCUUCACAUUCCACUUUCUUCCUCUCUGAAAUCAAAGAGCACACGUCCAACCCUCCAAUAUCCAACCCACCAACACAGAUAAUCCCAUAUAGAAGAGGUGGAAAAACACUGAAAUGAGUCCAAAAUGAAAGCAGAAAUUAAGUGGCAAAGUAAUUAAAUCCAAUUCAAGAAAAACAUUCUAAGAACAGUAAAGGAAAAAAACUCCUGUCAACCCAAAAGGCCAAAACACAUAAAUAAACAUAAAAAGUCAAAAUAAAAGCAAUCUGAUGGUUGGGUUGCUGAAGGAUUGAAUUUCAGCAAAAAGUUAUUGCAUUUACAAAGAAAAUUACAAAAAAAUAAUAAAGAAAUGGAUGGCAGAAGAAGCAAGAACAUGCACAUGUAGAGUGAUAUG
rnacentral:misc_RNA from 1 species